rnacentral:rRNA from 2 species
GAAGUGAAGAUAGCUUGCUAUUGGAACUUAGUGGCGAACGGGUGAGUAACACGUAGAUAACCUGCCUGUAUGACCGGGAUAACAGUUGGAAACGACUGCUAAUACCGGAUAGGCAGAGAGGAGGCAUCUCUUCUCUGUUAAAGUUGGGACACAACGCAAACAGAUGGAUCUGCGGUGCAUUAGCUAGUUGGUGAGGUAACGGCCCACCAAGGCGAUGAUGCAUAGCCGGCCUGAGAGGGCGAACGGCCACAUUGGGACUGAGACACGGCCCAAACUCCUACGGGAGGCAGCAGUAGGGAAUUUUCGGCAAUGGGGGAAACCCUGACCGAGCAAUGCCGCGUGAGUGAAGACGGCCUUCGGGUUGUAAAGCUCUGUUGUAAGGGAAGAACGGCAUAGAGAGGGAAUGCUCUAUGAGUGACGGUACCUUACCAGAAAGCCACGGCUAACUACGUGCCAGCAGCCGCGGUAAUACGUAGGUGGCAAGCGUUAUCCGGAAUUAUUGGGCGUAAAGGGUGCGUAGGCGGCGAGAUAAGUCUGAGGUAAAAGCCCGUGGCUCAACCACGGUAAGCCUUGGAAACUGUCUGGCUGGAGUGCAGGAGAGGACAAUGGAAUUCCAUGUGUAGCGGUAAAAUGCGUAGAUAUAUGGAGGAACACCAGUGGCGAAGGCGGUUGUCUGGCCUGUAACUGACGCUGAAGCACGAAAGCGUGGGGAGCAAAUAGGAUUAGAUACCCUAGUAGUCCACGCCGUAAACGAUGAGAACUAAGUGUUGGGGAAACUCAGUGCUGCAGUUAACGCAAUAAGUUCUCCGCCUGGGGAGUAUGCACGCAAGUGUGAAACUCAAAGGAAUUGACGGGGGCCCGCACAAGCGGUGGAGUAUGUGGUUUAAUUCGACGCNACGCGAANAACCUUACCAGGCCUUGACNUGGUAUCAANGGCCCUANAGAUAGGGAGAUAGUUAUGGUACACNCNGGUGGUGCAUGGNNGUCG